CCCACCCCCACCCCCACCCCCGUCCACGAACCAACGGAGGCGGCGAGGCAUCUCCACCGCCGGCGAGAAAUCCAGCUAGGGUUUCCGGCGAGCGAGCCGAUGGGGCCGGGCGCGCCGUCGCCGGAGGACGCCGCGGGCGGGGAGCCGGAGGCGUGGUACGGCAGCAUCCAGUACCUCGUCAACAUCUCGGCGGUGGGGGCCGCCUCCUGCGUGCUCCUCUUCCUCCUCGUCAAGCUCCGCUUCGACCACCGCCGCAUCCCGGGGCCCUCCGCGCUCGCCGCCAAGCUGCUCGCCGUCUACCACGCCACGGCCCCGCAGAUCGCGCUCCACUGCGGCGCCGACGCCGCCCAGUUCCUCCUCUUCGAGCGCGCCUCCUUCCUCGUCCUCGCCGCCGUCUCCGCCGCCGCCUUCGCCGCGGCCCUCCCGCUCAACCUGCUCGCCGGGGACGCCGCCAUCGCCGACCAGUUCGCCGCCACCACCAUCUCCCACAUCCCCAGGGCCUCCCCGCUGCUCUGGCUCCACCUCCUCCUCACCGCCGCCGUCGUCGCCAUCGCGCACCUCGGCAUCUCCCGCAUGGAGGACGCCCUCCGCAUCACCCGCUUCCGCGACGGCAACGGCAACCCCAGCGACCCCAACUCCAGCUCCGUCGCCGUCUUCACCAUCAUGAUCCAGGGCAUCCCCAGGGCGCUCGCCGCCGACAAGGCCCCCCUCAAGGAGUACUUCGAGCACAAGUACCCCGGCAAGGUGUACCGCGUCAUUGUGCCCUUCGACCUCUGCACGCUGGAGUACCUCGCCGACGAGUGGGGGAAGGUCCGGAACAAGAUCUCCUGGCUGGAGGCGAAGAUGGACGCCCGCAGCCUGUUUGACGAGUUUGUGCAGGACGAAUCGGGGCAGUUAGAAGCGCACUGGCUUGUCAGGAGAUGCAAAGAGCUGUGGGCAAUGACCGCGCAGAGGUUCGGGUUUACUGAUGAUGAGAGGCUAAGGAAGCUGCAGACAAGGAAACUCGUGAUUGGGAGCAGGCUGUCGGAUUACAAGGAAGGGCGUGCGCGUGGUGCUGGCAUAGCUUUUGUUGUGUUCAAGGAUGUGUACACGGCAAACAAGGCUGUGAGAGAUUUCCGGAUGGAAAGGAAGAAGACACCCAUUGGCAGGUUCUUCCCAGUGAUGGAGCUACAGCUUGAGAGGAGCCGAUGGAGAGUGGAGAGGGCGCCACCAGCAUCAGAUAUCUACUGGAAUCACCUUGGGAUGAACAAGACCUCACUAGCCUUGCGACGGAUAGCGGUUAACACCUGCCUCAUUGUAAUGCUCCUGUUCUUCAGUUCACCAUUGUCAAUACUCAGUGGAAUGCAAAACGCAGCACGGAUCAUCAAUGUGGAGGCUAUGGAUAGUGCCAAAUCAUGGAUUGUUUGGCUUCAAGGCUCAAGCUGGUUCUGGACAAUAAUCUUUCAGUUUCUACCCAAUGUCCUCAUCUUCGUGAGCAUGUAUAUUAUCAUCCCAUCAGUACUGUCAUACUUCUCCAAGUUUGAGUUCCAUCUGACAGUGUCGGGGGAGCAGAGAGCUGCAUUGCUGAAGAUGGUUUGCUUCUUCCUUGUUAAUCUCAUCUUGUUGCGUGCGCUGGUGGAAUCGUCGCUUGAAAGUUGGAUUCUUAGCAUGGGACGGUGCUACUUAGAUAGUGCUGAUUGCAAGCAGAUUGAACAUUACCUGAGCCCAUCAUUCUUGUCGAGAUCUUCACUUUCUUCCCUGGCGUUCUUAAUCACAUGCACCUUUCUGGGAAUAUCUUUUGAUCUGCUGGCUCCAAUCCCUUGGAUAAAGCAUAUACUGAAGAAAUUCAGAAAGAAUGAUAUGGUCCAGUUGGUCCCUGAAGAAAAUGAGGAAUACAGAUCUAUGAACAAUGACGAAGAAACAAAUGGUCUGGUAUCGCCUCUAAUGUCUGAGAGAGAAGACAGUGACAUUCUGAAUGGUUUCGAGGGGCAUGAUCUUUCCAUGUACCCAAUAAACCGGAGCUUCCACAUGCCAAAGCAGAAAUUCGACUUUGCACAAUACUAUGCAUUUGACAUCACAAUAUUCGCGCUCACGAUGAUCUACUCACUGUUUGCUCCGCUUGUGGUUCCUGUCGGUGCAGUAUACUUUGGCUACCGUUACCUUGUGGACAAGUACAAUUUCCUGUUCGUGUACAGAGUCAGAGGAUUUCCUGCAGGCAAUGAUGGGAAGCUGAUGGAUAGGGUGCUGUGCAUCAUGCAAUUCUGUGUCAUCUUCUUUCUUGCUGCUAUGUUGCUCUUCUUCGCAGUCCAGGGUGAUUCCAUGAAGCUACAGGCUAUAUGUACUCUUGGGCUGUUAGUGUUCUAUAAGUUGCUGCCGUCUGGAAGUGAUCGCUUCCAGCCGUCCUUGUUAGAAGGGAUGCAGACAGUUAAUAGCUUUGUAGAUGGUCCAACGGAUUAUGAAGUUUUUUCACAACCUGACCUGGAUUGGAAUCUGUAUCAAUCCUGAAGAAAACUCAAGCCAUCCUUGUUCAUAGAGACGCAGACAGUUAAAUAGCUUUGUAGACAGUCCAACAGAUUAUGGAGUUUUUUCACAACCUGACCUGGAUUGGAAUCUGUAUCAAUCCUGAAGGAAAAACUCAAGCCAUCCUUGUUAAUAGAGACACAGAGAGCUAAAUAGCUUUGUAGACGGUCCAACGGAUUAUGAAGUUUUUUCAUAGCCUGUCCUGGAUCUGUAUCAAUCCUGAAGAACUCGAGGUCAAUACACACUUGUUUCAUGACAUCGACAUCUAGUAUCACCGGAGCUUCGCAUUGUACGACUCUCAGUUGUUUCUGUACAGUAAUCUAGGAUAACUCCUUUUUUUUUUUUCUAGCUGGAACUGUUGUGUUGGAACUUUGAAAUGACAUACACUUCAAUUUGGACCAUGAAAGCAUGAGCUGCCAUUCGGAAAUUCCAUGAGAGUAUAUCUGGUGUUAUCCUAUUC
rnacentral:rRNA from 1 species